AGGCCUUUACUGACGCUAAAGCUCGAAGGUGCGGGUAUCGAACAGGAUUAGAUACCCUGGUAGUCCGCACGGUAAACGAUGGAUGCCCGCUGUUUGCGAUACACUGUGAGCGGCCAAGCGAAAGCGUUAAGCAUCCCACCUGGGGAGUACGCCGGCAACGGUGAAACUCAAAGGAAUUGACGGGGGCCCGCACAAGCGGAGGAACAUGUGGUUUAAUUCGAUGAUACGCGAGGAACCUUACCCGGGCUUGAACUGCCGGCGAACGAUUCAGAGAUGAUGAGGUCCUUCGGGACGCUGGUGGAGGUGCUGCAUGGUUGUCGUCAGCUCGUGCCGUGAGGUGUCGGCUUAAGUGCCAUAACGAGCGCAACCCUUUUCUUUAGUUGCCAUCAGGUAAUGCUGGGCACUCUGGAGAUACUGCCACCGUAAGGUGUGAGGAAGGUGGGGAUGACGUCAAAUCAGCACGGCCUUUACGUCCGGGGCUACACACGUGUUACAAUGGGAGGUACAGAGAGUCGGUCAGUGGUAAUACUGAUCUAAUCCUAAAAGCCUUCCUCAGUUCGGAUUGGGGUCUGCAACCCGACCCCAUGAAGCUGGAUUCGC
rnacentral:rRNA from 1 species